rnacentral:rRNA from 1 species
GGGUUGUGAGGUUAAGCGACUAAGCGUACACGGUGGAUGCCCUGGCAGUCAGAGGCGAUGAAGGACGUGCUAAUCUGCGAUAAGCGUCGGUAAGGUGAUAUGAACCGUUAUAACCGGCGAUUUCCGAAUGGGGAAACCCAGUGUGUUUCGACACACUAUCAUUAACUGAAUCCAUAGGUUAAUGAGGCGAACCGGGGGAACUGAAACAUCUAAGUACCCCGAGGAAAAGAAAUCAACCGAGAUUCCCCAGUAGCGGCGAGCGAACGGGGAGCAGCCCAGAGCCUGAAUCAGUGUGUGUGUUAGUGGAAGCGUCUGGAAAGGCGCGCGAUACAGGGUGACAGCCCCGUACACAAAAAUGCACAUGCUGUGAGCUCGAUGAGUAGGGCGGGACACGUGGUAUCCUGUCUGAAUAUGGGGGGACCAUCCUCCAAGGCUAAAUACUCCUGACUGACCGAUAGUGAACCAGUACCGUGAGGGAAAGGCGAAAAGAACCCCGGCGAGGGGAGUGAAAAAGAACCUGAAACCGUGUACGUACAAGCAGUGGGAGCCUCUUUAUGGGGUGACUGCGUACCUUUUGUAUAAUGGGUCAGCGACUUAUAUUCUGUAGCAAGGUUAACCGAAUAGGGGAGCCGAAGGGAAACCGAGUCUUAACUGGGCGUUAAGUUGCAGGGUAUAGACCCGAAACCCGGUGAUCUAGCCAUGGGCAGGUUGAAGGUUGGGUAACACUAACUGGAGGACCGAACCGACUAAUGUUGAAAAAUUAGCGGAUGACUUGUGGCUGGGGGUGAAAGGCCAAUCAAACCGGGAGAUAGCUGGUUCUCCCCGAAAGCUAUUUAGGUAGCGCCUCGUGAAUUCAUCUCCGGGGGUAGAGCACUGUUUCGGCAAGGGGGUCAUCCCGACUUACCAACCCGAUGCAAACUGCGAAUACCGGAGAAUGUUAUCACGGGAGACACACGGCGGGUGCUAACGUCCGUCGUGAAGAGGGAAACAACCCAGACCGCCAGCUAAGGUCCCAAAGUCAUGGUUAAGUGGGAAACGAUGUGGGAAGGCCCAGACAGCCAGGAUGUUGGCUUAGAAGCAGCCAUCAUUUAAAGAAAGCGUAAUAGCUCACUGGUCGAGUCGGCCUGCGCGGAAGAUGUAACGGGGCUAAACCAUGCACCGAAGCUGCGGCAGCGACGCUUAUGCGUUGUUGGGUAGGGGAGCGUUCUGUAAGCCUGUGAAGGUGUGCUGUGAGGCAUGCUGGAGGUAUCAGAAGUGCGAAUGCUGACAUAAGUAACGAUAAAGCGGGUGAAAAGCCCGCUCGCCGGAAGACCAAGGGUUCCUGUCCAACGUUAAUCGGGGCAGGGUGAGUCGACCCCUAAGGCGAGGCCGAAAGGCGUAGUCGAUGGGAAACAGGUUAAUAUUCCUGUACUUGGUGUUACUGCGAAGGGGGGACGGAGAAGGCUAUGUUGGCCGGGCGACGGUUGUCCCGGUUUAAGCGUGUAGGCUGGUUUUCCAGGCAAAUCCGGAAAAUCAAGGCUGAGGCGUGAUGACGAGGCACUACGGUGCUGAAGCAACAAAUGCCCUGCUUCCAGGAAAAGCCUCUAAGCAUCAGGUAACAUCAAAUCGUACCCCAAACCGACACAGGUGGUCAGGUAGAGAAUACCAAGGCGCUUGAGAGAACUCGGGUGAAGGAACUAGGCAAAAUGGUGCCGUAACUUCGGGAGAAGGCACGCUGAUAUGUAGGUGAGGUCCCUCGCGGAUGGAGCUGAAAUCAGUCGAAGAUACCAGCUGGCUGCAACUGUUUAUUAAAAACACAGCACUGUGCAAACACGAAAGUGGACGUAUACGGUGUGACGCCUGCCCGGUGCCGGAAGGUUAAUUGAUGGGGUUAGCGGUAACGCGAAGCUCUUGAUCGAAGCCCCGGUAAACGGCGGCCGUAACUAUAACGGUCCUAAGGUAGCGAAAUUCCUUGUCGGGUAAGUUCCGACCUGCACGAAUGGCGUAAUGAUGGCCAGGCUGUCUCCACCCGAGACUCAGUGAAAUUGAACUCGCUGUGAAGAUGCAGUGUACCCGCGGCAAGACGGAAAGACCCCGUGAACCUUUACUAUAGCUUGACACUGAACAUUGAGCCUUGAUGUGUAGGAUAGGUGGGAGGCUUUGAAGUGUGGACGCCAGUCUGCAUGGAGCCGACCUUGAAAUACCACCCUUUAAUGUUUGAUGUUCUAACGUUGACCCGUAAUCCGGGUUGCGGACAGUGUCUGGUGGGUAGUUUGACUGGGGCGGUCUCCUCCUAAAGAGUAACGGAGGAGCACGAAGGUUGGCUAAUCCUGGUCGGACAUCAGGAGGUUAGUGCAAUGGCAUAAGCCAGCUUGACUGCGAGCGUGACGGCGCGAGCAGGUGCGAAAGCAGGUCAUAGUGAUCCGGUGGUUCUGAAUGGAAGGGCCAUCGCUCAACGGAUAAAAGGUACUCCGGGGAUAACAGGCUGAUACCGCCCAAGAGUUCAUAUCGACGGCGGUGUUUGGCACCUCGAUGUCGGCUCAUCACAUCCUGGGGCUGAAGUAGGUCCCAAGGGUAUGGCUGUUCGCCAUUUAAAGUGGUACGCGAGCUGGGUUUAGAACGUCGUGAGACAGUUCGGUCCCUAUCUGCCGUGGGCGCUGGAGAACUGAGGGGGGCUGCUCCUAGUACGAGAGGACCGGAGUGGACGCAUCACUGGUGUUCGGGUUGUCAUGCCAAUGGCACUGCCCGGUAGCUAAAUGCGGAAGAGAUAAGUGCUGAAAGCAUCUAAGCACGAAACUUGCCCCGAGAUGAGUUCUCCCUGACUCCUUGAGAGUCCUGAAGGAACGUUGAAGACGACGACGUUGAUAGGCCGGGUGUGUAAGCGCAGCGAUGCGUUGAGCUAACCGGUACUAAUGAACCGUGAGGCUUAACCUUACAACGCCGAAG